AAGCAUAUAAUUAAGCGGAGGAAAAGAAACUAACCAGGAUUCCCCCAGUAAGGGCGACUGAAGCGGGAAGAGCUCAGGAUGUGAAUCUGCGCCAGCCUGUCGCGGCGCCGAAUUGUGGUCUGUCGACUGCGGCAUUACCGGCCGGGCCAAGUCCCUUGGAACAGGGCAGCUGAGAGGGUGAGACUCCCGUUCGCCUGGCUGGAUGAGCCGCAAGUCCAAGAGUCGAGUUGUUUGGGAUUGCAGCUCCAAGCGGGUGGUAAAUUCCAUCUAAAGCUAAAUAUUGGUGGGAGACCGAUAGCGUACAAGUACCGUGAGGGAAAGAUGCAAAGAACUUUGAAAAGAGAGUUAAAGAGUACCUGAAACUGUUGAAAGGGAAGCGAAGGAAACCAGUGCCGGCUCAGUCAUACUUCCCUGUCUGCUUGCAGAUUGGGCGCUGUGGUUGGCCUGUGUUGUCCUUGGUUGAAUCCGCCGGAAGAGCGCAGUGAGAGUUGAUCUCUGUUGCUAGCGGCGGUUUUGACUGAGGAUGACGAAAUGGUUUUCUUUACCCCGUCUUG
rnacentral:rRNA from 1 species